UACUGCAUCUUAUUUCAAGAUUUGGAAUAGCUCAGCUGGAAUACUGUCACCCCCACUAGUUUUGUUAUUGCUCAGACUUCCUAAGGCCCAAUUGACUUCACAUUCCACGAUUUCUGCCUCGAGGUCAGUGACCACCCCAUCGUGGUUAUCAGGGACAUUAAGCUCUUUCUUGUGUAGUUCUUCUGUGUAAUCUUGCCACCUCUUCUUAAUCUCUUC